ACCUUACCGAACUACUUCGUUCCUGUAGUAGCACCGAGCAAGCGAGCGUGGGAGACAGCAGCGGCGACCUACGUACACCAGAGAGGAGAUGGAUAUGGAGGCCAAGUAUGCUGAUCUGCGGCGCGCGGCGGAGGAAACGGCGGUGGUGGACGCGCACGCGCACGACCUCGUCGCCGCUGGUUCCACCCUGCCCUUCAUCGGCUGCUUCUCCGAGGCCGACGGCGACGCGCUCGCCUUGGCCCCCCACUCCCUCCCUUUCAAGCGAAGCCUUAGGGACAUUGCUGCAUUGUACGACUGUGAUCCCUCACUUGAGAAGGUGGAGGAGUUCAGAAGGGCUCAAGGCCUGUCAUCUAUCACUUCAAAAUGCUUCCAAGCUGCCAAUAUAUCUGCGCUUGUUGUAGAUGAUGUCUCCACAUUGGACAAAACCCUUGAACUGGAAUCUCACAAGGCAUUUGCUCCCAAGGUUUACAGAGUUGUCGGAAUCGAGACCCUGGCGGAAACAAUUAUUAAUGAGGAGUCAGUUGUUGGAUCAAGCUGGACACUGGAUUCAUUCACUGAAGCAUUUGUGGCGAAGCUCAAAUCAUAUCCUACACAAUUUCGGAUAUUUGCGCGUGUGUGUGUGUUUGUUUGUUUGAACUCUGUAAAUACCCUUAACAAAUUCCUCACAGUUGCCAACAAAAUUGUUGGAUUGAAAAGCAUGGCUGCACAUAGAAGUGGCUUAGAGAUUGAUCCAAGUGUUAGCAAGGUGGAUGCAGAGGAUGGUCUUCGGAAGGAGCUAGCAACUCGGAGGCCUCUUCGGAUUACAAACAAAAACCUGUUUGACUAUAUAUUUAUUCAUAGUCUUGAAAUUGCUGUGGAGUUUCAUUUGCCAAUGCAGAUUCAUACAGGGUUUGGAGACAGGGAACUGGGCUUACGACAUUGCACCCUUUUUCAUCUGCGUGCUGUUCUUGAAGACAAAAGAUUUGUCAAGUGCCAAAUAGUUCUUCUAAAUGCUUCGUAUCCAUUUUCGAGGGAAGGAUCCUAUCUUGCAUCUGUUUACUCCCAGGUCAUGUUCAGCACAGAUGGAUAUGCUUUUCCAGAGACAUACUAUCUAGGUGCAAAAUGGGCACGUGAUGUCGUUUACCGUGUCCUCUCAGCUGCAUGUGAAGAUGGUGAUCUUACCAUUCAGGAAGCUAUAGAAGCAGUUGAGGACAUCUUCAGAAGAAAUGCACUGCAUCUGUACAAGUUGAAUGUCUUCCAUGAAAAAACUACCAGUAUUGAUGACAAUACCAUAUCAUCGUCGUCUUGUCUCGGGAAAGAUGAUGUGAUCCUUGUUCGAAUGGUCUGGAAUGAUGCUUCAGGUCAACAUAGAUGCCGUGCCUUGCCAGCCGAGAGAUUUUACGGCAUUGCACGGAACAAGGGUGUUGGUCUAGGUAUUGCAGCAGUGGGGUUUACUUCCUUUAGAGAUGCCCCAGCAGUUGGGACAAACCUUACUUGUGCCGGAGAGGAAAUCAGGCUUGUGGCAGAUAUGUCAACACUUUUGAGGAUCCCAUGGUCAAGAAACGAAGAAAUGGUGAUGGUUGACAUGCUAACCGGUUCCGGAGAAGCCUCCAAAUACUGUCCUAGAAAUGCUUUAAGAAAAGUGACAAAAGUUCUGCUAGAUGAAUUCAAUGUGACAGUCAAGGCAGGUUUUGAGAAUGAAUUUUAUCUCCUCAGAAAAUCAUUCAGCGAGGGGCAUGAACAUUGGGUUCCAUAUGAUAAUAGCAGUUACUGCUCGACUUCAGCAUUUGAUGGUGCAUCAUUUAUGCUGAAAGAAGCACAUUCUUGUCUUAAAGCUGCAGGCAUUGUGGUUGAGCAGAUGCAUGCUGAAGGUGGUAAUGGGCAGUUCGAGAUAGCCUUAAAGUAUGUGUUGUGCACUCUUGCUGCUGAUAAUCAGAUAUAUGCCCGAGAAAUUAUUAAAUCCAUUGCUCGAAAACACGGGGUGAUAGCAACAUUUCUACCAAAACCAGACCUAAAUGAACUUGGAUCCGGUUGUCAUGUGCACCUGAGCUUAUGGAAGAAUGACCAAAAUGUUUUCAUGGGCUCAAAUAAAUAUAAUUACCAUGGGAUGUCAAAUACCGGUGAACGGUUCCUUGCUGGAGUUUAUCAUCAUCUUCCAUCGAUACUGGCAUUUACUGCCCCUCACCCACACAGCUACGACCGAAUUCAGCCAAACACAUUCACUGGAGCAUAUCUUUGCUGGGGGAAAGAGAACCGGGAGGCUCCAUUGAGGACCUCCUGCCCACCUGGCGUGCCUCCUGAUUUUGUCAGCAACUUCGAGAUUAGGUCGUUCGACGGGUGCGCAAACCCUCACCUAGGCCUCGCCGCCAUUGUCGCUGCCGGGAUCGACGGGCUAAGGAGAGGCCUCAAGUUGCCUCCACCAACUGAACUGAACCCUGCAGAUUGCGCUUCACACGAGAGGCUACCGCAUGACUUGCUUGGAUCUGUGGAGGCACUUGCUGCGGACAAGAUUUUUCAUGAACUGAUGGGUGACAAACUUGUGACUUCUGUUAUAGCUAUGCGAAAGGCCGAGAUCGAGCACUACGCUAAGAACCCAGGGGCAGUCCACCAUCUCAUUCACCGUUACUAGCAGUAGUUGCAGGCCGAGAUCGAGCACUCUUGCUUGAUGAUCGAUCGGGUUGAAAACGUACUGCUCUUCUUUUAGGCAUUGCUCUGCUCUCGGCACUUCACAUGUAUGCCGAUGAAUAAUGUUGUCCCACGGAUUGCUGAUGGAUCUCGGCAAUGCACUUGCAGUUCUCCGACGUUUUCAGUUAAUAAGUGAUUUUUCAUCGGUGUUUGUUCAGUGGGAUGAGACGUUUCCAUGGUCUAUGAUGCGCCUAUGAUGACUUUGUUGAUCUCAAGAUGUUGUGCUCGCUCAGUAUCUCAGAGAUGCUCCUGGGGUAGGGUGUGCGUGUGUUCAUAGGGGCGAGUGCAUGUGAGCAUCAACAUUUGUACCGUGUUUUGAAAAGGACGUCGAUAAGGACCGAACGUUCGGUCUGGGGGCCUCCCAGACCGAACGAGGAGUUCGGUACGACAGGCAGCUCCCUGCGAACGAAAUCGUUUGGGAGGAGAGGCCUCCCAGCCCGAACGCUCCUUCCCGUCCUCGGUCUUUUCUCUGUACAAAAAAAGCCCAUAAAAACGAAAAAGCCCUACAGGCCUUUCCU